GGGCUCGUGGUGUAGUCUGGUUAACAUGUCAGAUUGUCGAUCUGAAGAUCGCCGGUUCAAAUCCGGUCGGGCCCGCCA
rnacentral:tRNA from 1 species